GAUGAACGCUGGCGAGAUGCCUUACACAUGCAAGUCGUACGGGAAUUUUUAAUUCAAGUGGCGGACGGGUGAGUAACACGUAAGAAUUUGCCUUUAGGAGGGGGACAACAACUGGAAACGGUUGCUAAUACCCCAUAUGCUUUCGAGUGAAAUGGAUUUUUCCGCCUAAAGAGAAGCUUGCGGCUGAUUAGCUUGUUGGUGAGGUAAUGGCUCACCAAGGCGACGAUCAGUAUCUGGUUUGAGAGGAUGAUCAGACACACUGGAACUGAGACACGGUCCAGACUCCUACGGGAGGCAGCAGUGGGGAAUUUUCCGCAAUGGGCGAAAGCCUGACGGAGCAAUCUCGCGUGAGGGAUGACGGCCUAUGGGUUGUAAACCUCUUUUUUC
rnacentral:rRNA from 1 species